ensembl:miRNA
CUUUUUGCGGUCUGGGCUUGCUGUUCAUAAAUAUCAGUCUGGGAAGCCCUUACCCCAAAAAGCAU